UAUCUAUAUAAGCCACUGUGCUUUAAAACAGUGACAAAAUUUAAAAAGGCAUCCUGUGAUUUUUAAUGACCACAUCGAGUCAGGAUCUCUGUUUAAUGUCUCAUCCAAAGGAUGGUGCUUCUUGACAUUAUAGUGUCCCCAUACUGGGGCAUUAGGACCCACAUGGAUCAGAAGUUAAGUAACCCUUAAUGGUCUCAAUUAACACCCCUUCCAUAACUCAAUUUUAACUCAAAAUAACUCGAUUGACAAAAAUGUCAGAUAGAACCUUAUAAUUCCAAGUUGACGAAAUAAUGAAAUUAAUGGAACAAAAAGUACUUACGCAGACAUUGAUUUUUUUUACCAUGUCUACGUCAUCAACUCCACCAAGUCUUCUCAUAUAUGCUUGCUAAAAAGAAUAACAAAAAUGGUCUGUAAGAAUAACUUAACAAAACUGGCUUUAUUAAUGAUCUAAACUUUCUGAAGAAAAAAAAAAAAAACGGAGAAUGAUGCAAUCUAAAAUGAUCUGAUCUGAUCUGAUCUGAAACUGAUGUGGUAUAGUCAAGAUGAGUUGACAAUGGCACAUACAACGUUUAGUGUCGAUACGAUAAAGCCUUGCAGAGAUACAGAUACAGCCUUUCCAUCAUGCCAACACAUUUAUGCAUUAUACAAUAAUGGUUUGGAACAUCGACAGGAAUAUAAUCUUUUUGUCAGCAUGGUCUGAAGAUGAUGUGACCCAAAUUUCCACACGAACAUAUUAAGUGGCGGAAGUCUCCGCGUUCAAAGCAAAUCCCGCCCCGCAGCUGAUUCUAAAGUUUUCAAAAGGCAUCACGCGAGUGUGAACAUCACUACAAAUAGGAAAAAAAAAUACUGUAAUUCAAACGCAGCUCCCGUCUGCAUUUAAACAGACCUUUGCUCUUAAUUCUGAUCGGGCCAACCCAAUAACGAAAUCUGAGCAGGUCUAAAAACUGAAAGUGUUGUGGCUGCACUUUACACUUUGGAGAAGUUAUAUAUUAACUUUUCCAAAUAUAUAUAUACACACACAUAUACAGGUCCUUCUCAAAAAAUUAGCAUAUUGUGAUAAAGUUCAUUAUUUUCCAUAAUGUAAUGAUAAAAAUUAAACUUUCAUAUAUUUUAGAUUCAUUGCACACCAACUGAAAUAUUUCAGGUCUUUU
ensembl:lncRNA